UUGGGGCUCAUGAAAAGGAUUUUCACUCUCAGUUUCCCUCCUUUCCAUGGCUUGGUCACAGAGCCUUUGGCAUAACUUGCCAAGCCGAACUGAGUGGCAAGGAGACGGGAUUAGCCAUCCCUUGCGGCCUUGCCCACACCGGUUGCUAAAGGGCAGAGACUGCUUGGCCAUUGCUAGUGCUGUUGCUAAGGGGAGGAACCAUGUGUUACGAUGGUAGCUAUGGGAGGAGGAGAGUGAUUGGCCAUUGCUAAGGGGCAUGGUUUUACCUGUCUCAGGUGUGACAGGUUUAUGAUAGUAAGUAUGUGGAUACCUUAAACCACUCAUCAGUUUGAAUUCUACAUUGUGUCCAAAUUUUGUAGCAAUUGGUGAAGUAGUUUGGGAGAUAUGAGGUCCCCACAAAUGGAUAUUACAUUUUUAUUUAUAUAGAUGUAUUCUGGAAUACAUAUGAUAUAAUUUCUUUGUGAACAUGUCUGUUUUCUUAUUUAGAACAAGUGAGCAAACUUGUUCUACCAUCUGUUUCUACUCCCCCUUAUGUCCAUAUUAUCAUUAAGGAGGAAGUUCUAAUUGUAAACUGAUGUCUUUUAAUCAAAAUGGAGAAGAGAAAAAUCAGAAUUAUAUUGCUUAAUAGUCAACACUAUUGAUCUUAAGUUUAAUAAUAAUGAAUGUUACCAACAUCUACUGCAUAAAGAUAUUGACUUUGUAGACAGUAGAGGGCAAUAGAGAUGCACUUUUCCACUAUAAUUGCAAAGACUCUUCAGAUGAAUUUAUCCCUCCUUUUAUAAAGAAAAGGAGGAGUAGAUAGGAUCUCUUGGGCAGUUUACAAAUCGGGAUCUGUCUCUGAUAGACAACCAGGAAAUCAAGCAGCAAGUGGAAGAACCUACAUAAAGUUUUAAAAUACAUCUUCAUUGGAACUUAUUGCAAAUUGAAUAGUCAAGAAAGGAUUGAGAAGUGCAAGGAUGCAGUAGUGGGAAUGGAACUGCAAAGAGGAUUUCAUUUCAAAGAGCCUUCAGAUGACAGAGGUUUUGCCUUGACUCUGAAUUCGAAGCUAAAUGAGAAAACAGACUGAAGCAUUAUGUGUUCCUCAGACAUCAAUAGUUUCAAUUUUUGUCUGGAUAAAGCAUGAAAAAGAUCGUAUUUCUCAGCGAACAGGGUAGGCUUUGGAUCUCUCUCCCUCCAUGUAGAUCGGCCAUCACUUCAUAUGCAUUUUUAAAAAAUAACUCUUUUAAAAGAAGGAUUUGAAAUCUGUUUCAGAUUACUAAUUUUGUCAUUCAGAAUGUGAAUUGUAAAUUUCAAAAAUCAAACAUUAGUUUUAUUUUUGAAUGGUUAUUUUCGAAUGUUGUAAUUCCCAAUACAACAACUAGGAUCCAAUAGGAACAGCUGAGGGGGGCCUGGUGCAAAAGCAAAAUCAGAAAAACUUUUUAAAAAUGUAAUUUAUACAGUAUUAGUUUUUAAAAGACAUAUAAAGUUAUAUUUUGACAAUAUAAAAACUUUUAAAUACACAUGAGAAAGAUGAAUCAGAAACUUACUGCACAAAAUCUUUCACCUUAAUAGUAUUCAUAAAUAUAGUUUUCAGCAUUGAAAGAAGCUUGGUUAGAUUUCUGAAUGCAAUUUAUGACAAAAAAACCUGCAAGCUAUGUGCCAAUAUCGGUCUCAUCAUAAACUGUUUUGUACAGCACCAGUUAACUUUCUUAAACUGAAAGAUCGUUCAGAAGACUGGCAAAUUAAUUGAAAAUAAAGUCAAGAGAGAUUGAAUCAUCUUGCAAUUUUGUACAUCAGAAAUGAUUUCGCAAAGCCAGUUGAUUUUACUGAAAAAAAUGUGUGGACAAGAUCUAGAAAACAUACUUGCUAUUUUUGAUAUUAUUAUAAUGUUUUAUUAUGCAAAUACAUAUAGUUCCUUUUUAAUAAAUAUAUUACUUUUUUCAUUAUCAUUUAAACAUAUUAUCCCAAAUCCUGUUGAGCAUCAAGCUGCCCUUAAUCGUAGCACCUAAGAUCUUGGUCUAGGGGUCCACUAUAGGAUGUGGGGACCAUGAAUGACCGUUCCUUUUACUUCAAUUUGCUUUCUAAUUUAUUUCUGUCAUAAACCCUUUCAAUACCGGUUCUGCAUUAAUUUGUGAAUUCUAAAUAACUUUAGAGAAAAUACCAUUCUAAUAUAUCCAGUUCUAUUCAAACCUUCUAUUCCUCAUUGACCAUUCAUUAGCAAACAGUUUCCCUUAAUAUAUGUAUAAAUAUUUUGAAAUGCUUUUUCCCAAAAUAUACAUACAGUAGAGUCUCACUUAUCCAACACUCACUUAUCCAGCAUUCUGGAUUAUCCAAUGCAUUUUUGUAGUCAAUGUUUUCAAUACAUUGUGACAUUUUGGUGCUAAAUUUGUAAAUACAGUAAUUACUACAUAGCAUUACUGUGUAUUGAACUACUUUUUCUGUUAAAUUUGAUGUAUAACAUGAUGUUUUGGUGCUUAAUUUGUAAAAUCAUAAUUUAAUUUGAUGUUUAAUAGGAUUUUCCUUAAUCUCUCCUUAUUAUCCAACAUAUUCGCUUAUCCAACGUUCUGCCGGCCCGUUUAUGUUGGAUAAGUGAGACUCUACUGUGUUUUAUAUACUUUUUGAAGGGAAGAACAUCAUAAAAACUGAAUAAAUAAGUGCCUUCCCGUGCAAUUUUAAUAGUUCCACCUUUUGUUCUGAUACCUGUUGAUGUAUUUUAUGCAGCUUUUAUUAUUGUUUUAAUUAUAUAUGUUGUUAUUGUGUUCUGCUUUUAUUGUUGAUUUUUGGGCUUGGUCCCCAUGUGAACCGCUCCGAGUCCCCUCGGGUAGAUGGAGGUGGGUUAUAAAUAAGGUAUUAUUAUUAUUAUUAUUAUUAUUAUUAUUAUUAUUAUUAUUAUUAUUAUUAUUAUUAUUAUUUCAUUUUACUCUUUGCAAGGGCAGAUUUUAGAAAUAAUAUUUCCAAAAAGCCACUGAAAUGACACACUUGCUCAUAUCCAGGAGCCAAACCUGUGAGUACAUUGCAGAAGAGGAAGUUAAAAAUAUUUUUUCCUUACUACAAAGAUGAUCAGACUCAAACAAUCUCAAUGUUAUUCUAGAAAACCAGUUUAAUGACUACCCCAGUCUGAAACCAUCCUGACUGGCAUAUUCAUUUAUCCUCUUGUUAUAUUUCAAGAAAUUAUGUCAAUGUAGAUUAGACAAAAAGGUGUUGCAGAUUAUUUGACAUCUUCCAAAUACAGGCUGGGAUGUAUCUGUUGUCGAACCAUGACACUCCCCUCCCAAUAGAUUUAUAGAUCAUAAAGAAACUCCAAGCAAGAGAUAUUAUUUUCUUUAUUUUAAAAGCAUUUUCUGUGGUACCAAAGUUAAUAUUGAAGCCGCUAGAGCAGGCAUGGACAAACUAAGGCUUGGGGGGCGGAUGUGGCCCCCUGGGCACGUACCUCAGGCCCUCCUCAUUUUUCCUGUCCUCUUGGCACAAGGACACAGUGACUCUCUAUGUCCUUAUGCCAAAAAGAUGGGGGAGGAAGAUAUACAGCAGCUGAGAGCCCUCUUGCCCUCUUCCUGGCAUAAGGACGGUGCAAAUGGCCCCAUCCACUACCCGUGUCACCUGCUUCCUGGAAUAAUGCCAAGAGAACAGCCUGAGGAUCUGGGGAGGAGGAUUGGGGCAGUCACUGCAUGUCCCGCCUUCCUCCCAGCAUAAGGAUGGGAUGGGGCAAGCAUCCCAGUCCUUAUGUUGGAAGGACAACCUGAGGAUGACCCAGGACCUGCCCUCCCCCCCUCCUCAUGGCCCUGCCCACCCCCAUGCCCUAUCCCUCGUGGGCCCACCCCAUCCAGUGUGCAAAUGCCCCCCUUCCCUUCCGGCCCGGUCUGCUCAGCCAGGGCAAAAAAAAAAAUGUUUGCCCAUGCCUGCGCUAGAGGCUCAAGGAUGGACCUAGCAGCAGCUGUACCCUAAAACUAUAAAAUCUAACCCUUCAAUAAAUGUAUCAAUUUAAUAUUUUAUGUGUGACUUUUAUUGUUUAUGUAUUGUGUCAAUUCUUAAAUGUAUAAUCCGUAUCAAAUGUAUCAAAAUAUAUCUAGAAGGCAGCUGCCUCUCUGUGCCCUUGUAUAAUCCCUUGAGAACGGAGAUCAUAGCCAGGGUCCCUCCAGCUAUUUCCCAAGUCAGAUAAAUAUCAAAACCUUUGUGUGUGUGUGUGUGUGUGUGUGUGUGUGUGUAUGCAGACAGAUGAUCCCCUUUGUCACCAUGAUGAGCUCAGAAUAUUUGUCCAUUGGGAGUAUGCCGCUCCUACGGAAGAGGGGGCACAGCAAACCUAAAUUAAUUAACUUUCUGAAUGGGCAGCCAAGCCCCUGAUUGUCUGGAACUACC